AAGUAACACGUGGACAAUCUGCCCCCCGGCCCGGGAUAGCCCAGGGAAACCUGGAUUAAUACCGGAUGAGACGGGACCCGCGAAGGCGGGACCCGGGAAAGGCGCUGCGGCGCCGCCGGGGGAUGAGUCUGCGUCCCAUUAGCUAGACGGCGGGGUAACGGCCCACCGUGGCGACGAUGGGUAGCCGGCCUGAGAGGGUGGACGGCCACAUUGGAACUGAGACACGGUCCAGACUCCUACGGGAGGCAGCAGCUAAGAAUCUUCCGCAAUGGGCGAAAGCCUGACGGAGCGAACCGCCGCGUGAACGAAGAAGGCCGUGAGGUUGUAAAGUUCUUUUCGGGAGGGGGAACAACCGUGGCAGGGAAUGGCCGCGGGAUGACGUGAAUCCCGGAAUAAGCCCCGGCUAACUACGUGCCAGCAGCAGC
rnacentral:rRNA from 1 species